GAUGAACGCUGACAGAAUGCUUAACACAUGCAAGUCAACUUGAACUUCGGUUUGGGUGGCGGACGGGUGAGUAACGCGUAAAGAACUUGCCUCACAGUUAGGGACAACAUUUGGAAACGAAUGCUAAUACCUGAUAUUAUGAUUUUAGGGCAUCCUAGAAUUAUGAAAGCUAUAUGCGCUGUGAGAGAGCCUUGCGUCCCAUUAGCUAGUUGGAGAGGUAACGGCUCACCAAGGCGAUGAUGGGUAGCCGGCCUGAGAGGGUGAACGGCCACAAGGGGACUGAGACACGGCCCUUACUCCUACGGGAGGCAGCAGUGGGGAAUAUUGGACAAUGGACCAAGAGUCUGAUCCAGCAAUUCUGUGUGCACGAUGAAGUUUUUCGGAAUGUAAAGUGCUUUCAGUUGGGAAGAAAAAAAUGACGGUACCAACAGAAGAAGUGACGGCUAAAUACGUG
rnacentral:rRNA from 1 species